rnacentral:rRNA from 1 species
UUUUCCUCGGGACGCAGCAGUGGGGAAUAUUGCGCAAUGGGGGCAACCCUGACGCAGCAACGCCGCGUGAUUGAAGAAGGCCUUCGGGUUGUAAAGAUCUUUAAUCGGGGACGAAUUUUGACGGUACCCGAAGAAUAAGCUCCGGCUAACUACGUGCCAGCAGCCGCGGUAAUACGUAGGGAGCAAGCGUUAUCCGGAUUUACUGGGUGUAAAGGGCGUGUAGGCGGGCAUGCAAGACAGAAGUGAAAUCUGGGGGCUUAACCCCCAAACUGCUUUUGGAACUG